rnacentral:lncRNA from 1 species
CAACCCUGAUGUGAGAUGGUCUCCACCAUGUUACGAUGCAGCAUGAAGCCCUUAGCAGAAGCUGAGAGUAUUCUGUUACUGCAACGCAAAACAGACGAAGACAACUUGUUCGUUAUUGAUGUAUAGAUUUCACUGACCAGCAACACUCCAGUGAAAGUGUUGUCAAAAUUUAUAAAGUCUGAGGUAAACGUGACACUAAAGUAACAGGUAAGUGAAUCAUAAUGCAUUCUUUUAAAAAAUAUGUUAUGUAUUCAUAACUCAAAAAUAAGUGUUUGAUACUCCUAAUGUCUGUUUUGUGUUUCUGGAGCACAUCUCAUUCCUUGCAGUGAAAGUCGUUUCCUUUGCACUUAGAUAAGAAACUGUUAUUAAUGACUUUAAAAAAUUUAUCUUAGUAAGAAGAGGGCUACUGAGUGAUUCAGAUGACCUAGAGUGAAGUAUAUUUUUUUCUGGUUAAUUUUUAAAUAAUAUUGCUGAGAUGGAUUUAUGGAAGGUUGGUAUGUGUUAUUUGGAUAUUUAAAUACUGUCUCACUAGACGUGUACCUGAGGUAUCAUGAUGAUUCUAAAAUAUUGUGAUAUAAUUGGUUUUUAAGGGUUAGUUGAGGUAUUCUGGGUUCUUAUUAAGUGCUGAAUAACUGUGGCUGAGUUUGAUGAACUCCCUGAAAUUUUUUCAGCAAAUGUUUUAUAUAAUUCCGACACAAUGCCCUUAAAACUUCAGAGAUUCAUCUUUGGAGAUAGAAUUCUAUAGACUAUUCCACAGCUUUUGUGAAGGCAAAGCUCUGUGUAUUAUGUAAUGGGUUUCUGGAUAACAGAGAAUAAAAUAUUAUAAUAAGAUAGUACUUUUCAUUUAAUUCUCAAGAUCAGUCUUCUUCUUUACAGAAACUUCAAAACCAAGACUAACUUGAGAAACACCAUGAAUCUUUUCUCACAUGAACAUAUUCAUAGACCAUACGUAGAGAUGCAUAUUAAAUAUUCUCUAUAUUUUCACGUAUUCAAGAUUUUCUUU